UGCAAGUCGAGCGAACAGAUAGGAGCUUGCUCCUUUGACGUUAGCGGCGGACGGGUGAGUAACACGUGGGUAACCUACCUAUAAGACUGGAAUAACUCCGGGAAACCGGGGCUAAUGCCGGAUAACAUUUAGAACCGCAUGGUUCUAAAGUGAAAGAUGGUUUUGCUAUCACUUAUAGAUGGACCCGCGCCGUAUUAGCUAGUUGGUAAGGUAAUGGCUUACCAAGGCAACGAUACGUAGCCGACCUGAGAGGGUGAUCGGCCACACUGGAACUGAGACACGGUCCAGACUCCUACGGGAGGCAGCAGUAGGGAAUCUUCCGCAAUGGGCGAAAGCCUGACGGAGCAACGCCGCGUGAGUGAUGAAGGGUUUCGGCUCGUAAAACUCUGUUAUUAGGGAAGAACAAACGUGUAAGUAACUGUGCACGUCUUGACGGUACCUAAUCAGAAAGCCACGGCUAACUACGUGCCAGCAGCCGCGGUAAUACGUAGGUGGCAAGCGUUAUCCGGAAUUAUUGGGCGUAAAGCGCGCGUAGGCGGUUUCUUAAGUCUGAUGUGAAAGCCCACGGCUCAACCGUGGAGGGUCAUUGGAAACUGGGAGACUUGAGUGCAGAAGAGGAGAGUGGAAUUCCAUGUGUAGCGGUGAAAUGCGCAGAGAUAUGGAGGAACACCAGUGGCGAAGGCGACUUUCUGGUCUGUAACUGACGCUGAUGUGCGAAAGCGUGGGGAUCAAACAGGAUUAGAUACCCUGGUAGUCCACGCCGUAAACGAUGAGUGCUAAGUGUUAGGGGGUUUCCGCCCCUUAGUGCUGCAGCUAACGCAUUAAGCACUCCGCCUGGGGAGUACGACCGCAAGGUUGAUACUCACAGGAAUUGACGGAGACCCGCACAAGCGGUGGAGCAUGUGGUUUAAUUCGAAGCAACGCGAAGAACCUUACCAAAUCUUGACAUCCUUUGACCACUCUAGAGAUAGAGUUUUCUCCUUCGGGGGACAAAGUGACAGGUGGUGCAUGGUUGUCGUCACCUCCUGUCAUGAGAUGUUGUGUUAAGU
rnacentral:rRNA from 1 species